AACCGUAUCUUACACAAGAAAUACACCUAAGGAUGCCCACUGCCAACUUAUUUGAUGAGAAUCUGCAUUUUUACUAUAUCAGCACAUGAUUUACAGGCAUACUAAAAGAAGUUUUAAAGAUAUGACUCCUAAAAUUGUAAGAUCUGGGCACAUGCCUGAAGCUGAGGCAGAAAGAUCAUGAGGGGAGAUCAGCCUGGCACAAUAGUAAUGGGGUGAAAAGGCGAUUUAUAAGCAGAAGAAGGCAAGGAAGGAGGAGAAGACAGGAUGGGAAGAAGUGUCUCUGGACAUCUGUCAACUGAGAAAACUCAUUGCUUAUCUGAAAAAGUCAUUUGCACAAUUUUGAUGCUUAGGAGGCUUGGAAACCAUUAGGCUAUCACGUAUUAAAUAACUUCAGAGAGAAGGUAAUAAAGUGCUGUCUCAGUUCUCUUAGAAGAAAAGUUCAAGACAUGAACUUAAAUAUAUUUACUGCUUGAUCCACCCAUAUUCUCCCACCACAGAAGAAGAAAUUACUGUGUUUGGGCAGGGAGAAUGAAGACUACUUAUCCCAGCAUGCCUUGCAGCUUUGUAUGAUUAUGCAACGAAAAGCCACUUGUAAGAUGGUUGAGCAUUUGAGACGGAGACCAUAUGGCCCACAGAAAAAUAAAAUGUUUGUCAUCUAGCCUUUGACAAAAAUGCCGAAUUCCUAAUGUGAGUAAUGGAGGCCAAAUCAGGCAACGGAACAAGAUACAAAACAGAGGGACCCCGAUACUCCAACAGUUCAUAGGAUAGAGUUACUAUUCAAUACUUGAUUGAUGCCUUGGGAACAACAUGCAAAAGUAAAGAAGAUGCCAUUCUAUAAUGC